UGCCAUAUUGCAAACAGCACCACAGGGAAGGGCCCUGCUGGUAAACGCUGAUGGAUUGACAUUGGCGUGGAUUUUAUAAGCUCCAAACCAGCAGCGAGAUGAUGCUGUUGGCAGCCUGGCAUAGAGAGCAGGGGCAGAUAGAUAAGAUAUGGCCAGCUGGCGAACUCUGCAAAGCCUAUGCACAGUUCGUAAUGACACACAUGUGCAGGCUGCCAGCUGUAUCUAUAAACAGACAAUAACCAUCAGCGUGAAUGGAGAAGAGUGAAAGGAUCUAUCCUCCACUGUGCCAGACUGAGACGCCACCCGGGGACAGAAAUGACCACAACAACCUGCCAUCUUACAGGGUCCGUGUACGGAUCUGGUAAUUGGAUUUUCCGUUCUGAAACGGAUAUUGAAAAACAAAAAACGAGUGGUUAUUUGAUUUUCGGUUUAAAAUACAAAAAUUAAAAUUGAAAUACAAGGCGUUUGUCCUUUUCAUGAUCAAAAAGGGAUAUACAUUUUUUUAAUUGCUUUGAUUUUCGUUUUAUAUUUAGAAUAACAAGAAAGUAAAAUCAGUAAGAGACAGAAACGAAAAAAGGUCCGUUUUUUCAUUUUCUGAGACCGGAAGUGGUCAUCAGCAAGUGUGGAGCCAAACGACAAGAAGAUUCUCAGAGGGCGGAGCCAGAGAGCAGUGAUUGGUCAGACCAUAGAUAAUAUAGAAGACAGCGCGCUAGCGUAUCUAGUCUAUGUAUAUCUAUGGUCGGCACGUCUGGUAGCAUCUCUGGCUGCUGUUGACCUUGUUUUUGGAGUAAAACACGGGGGAAGCUGAAUUAGUGAGGAUGACUCCUGCUCCUGUCAUCUCUAAGCUCCUCACACAUCUUUACCUGCACAUGAGGAAAAUCACUCCUGUAGAAUGCAGGGUGGGUCCUACCUAGACCAGGCUGAUCCUGGACCAUCCCACAGAUGCUCCAUCAGAUCUGGAUGUGGAGAGUGUGGAACCCAGAUGUUCAGAGGGAGAUGAUGCCACAUCUGGUCCAGCUGAUGGAAGGUCUUGAAGUUCUCUGACUGGCCUCGACUGAAGAUGGUCGUCUCACUGGAUUUAAGGUUCAGAUGCUCAGUAACAAACUCCACCAAUGUGCCAACAGGGAAGCUUUAGGUUUAUUAAAUGUUGCUAUGAAGGUUUCGCUGUUUUUCUUUGUGAAUGCAAUGUGCUCCAACUGAAACUUGAAUUAGAACUUAGAAGUAAAUCCUUCCAUCUGAAAGGAUUUAGUUGCAUUAAUAACCUCAUAACAUUCAAAUUUUUAUUCCAGUCUUGGUUGAAAAUAGAAUCUCUGUAUUGAUUCAGGUAAAAACUGAACUUCACAGCAUGUUGGAGCAAAACAACCAGAUGAAAACUGUGAUGGUGUUGGAUUGUCAGACCGUAAUGUUGCAGCUCAAAGCAGCUUUUCUAUCUCAGUUCAUUCUGACAUUCAGCUAUGAAUCAACACAGCAGAUGGUGAUCCAUGCUGUGGAAGUCUCACAUCUCCUGAUUUAAUGGAGCUGCUUUGCACUUUUUACACUGUUUAUUCACCAACACUUUAUUUAAUAAAAGUCCCAUCUAGUUUUUAUGAGGAAUGUGAUGUUUUAAUUUCUCUGUGAAUAACUGCAGUCUAAUGCAACAGCUGGAGUUGUAACAUCUGUCCUGAUAUUGAUCAUGAAGUAUUGAUCAGAAUACUUAUGGUCAGCAGUCAUCCCUGAAGUUUUACAUUAAAAUCUUUACUUGUGUUGUGAACUUUGGUAAGAAGCAGAAACGUUAGCGUUGCUAUGGAUACAUGAGUGUUAAAUUCUGUCCAUUUUUCCAUUUUGGGAAAUGCAGUCCAGUUCCAGAAUGUGGAGGAAUUUAGUCUCACAAUCACAGACAACAAAUAUUAUCUGAAAGUCGGGUUAUUGUUGUUUAUUAGCACAAUACAGAAAGAUUAAUGUUAGAAAUAUUCCAGUUAAGACUCUAGAAUAUCAUGAUUUAUGUAAAUUUACCUCAAUAAUAUGAAUGUUCAGGUUAAGAUUGUACAGUGAUAUUUAUUAUGUAAGUUUAGCUGAUUAAAGUUUAUGACUCUGCACUACAAUAUUAUUUAAAUUGACAUCAUUAUUUUAAUAUUUAGGGUCAGACCCUACAGUAUUGAGAUUAAGAAAUCAAAUAUUCUAUAAAAUGUAAAUAAACUGAACUCAUGUGGAUAUAUUUAAGUGAGACUCUACAAUAUUAUUUGACACAAAUCUAUCUAAAUCAAAUUUUAAUAAUUUUCACACCAAACAUUUACUGGACUGAUUUAAAUAUUAAAAUCACUCCUUUCUAAUCCUCUGCUGUACCUUCAAACCUGAGGCCUUAAAUAGAAACACACAAGUAUCUGUUUGAAGGAACUUCUGCAGAGUCCUGGUUCCAGAACAUGAUGAUAGAAUUAUAGACAAACUUUAACAAAAGCUGCCUGAGAGUUUACAGGUUUUUAUGUUGGAUUUCUUCAGUACUUUAAUGAGCGUUAUCAGCAAUAAUCAAGUGUUCAUUUGAUGAACUUCAUUUUCUAAAACAUACAGAAUUAGAGCUCAUAUCUUUGGCAGCUGUAAAGUUUCUGCUCCUUCAAAGUUCACAACACAAUGAAUGAAUUCCUAAAACUCUCUCAGUGCUGGAGAGCGUUUGAUGCUGAAGCAGUGACCAGUUUUUCUGUUUCUUCUCUGGAGAUGCACAAUGAGGGACGUCUGCAUAGACUGAGAAAGAGUCUCACCACAUCCUGACAUGAGGAUAAAGACUUUAUUGAAGACUACAAUGAGAAAAACUAUCAGACAGCAGACGGCUGCAUUCAAGGUGAGCUCUGAACAUUUGAUCUGGAACAGGAAUUCAAUAACAGCAGCAUGAGCUUCAUUUCAGUCUGUAGCUGCUGAAUUCAUGGAUGAAUCAUCUGGCACUAGAGAGGAAGACCAUCAAACAUCCAUGUCAGCUGAUGGAGGUCCAAGAGUCUCACCGAACAAACAACCUACAGAGUGAAGACCUCAAAUCUGAUUGGACGGCCUCCUAUUCAGCCACAUGUGUGAACAAAUGCCUCUAAGCUGAUUUGUUUUCUAAAAUAAAUCUAGUUUGAGUCCUAA